UACGUAGGGGGCAAGCGUUGUCCGGAUUUAUUGGGCGUAAAGAGCGUGUAGGCGGCCGCACAGGUCCGUUGUGAAAACUGGAGGCUUAACCUUCAGACGUCGAUGGAAACCGUGCGGCUAGAGUCCGGAAGAGGAGAAUGGAAUUCCUGGUGUAGCGGUGAAAUGCGCAGAUAUCAGGAGGAACACCAAUGGCGAAGGCAGCUCGCUGGAACGGUACUGACGCUGAGGCGCGAAAGCGUGGGGAGCGAACAGG
rnacentral:rRNA from 1 species